AAAAGUCUUGACAGCAGGAUCACCGGGGGAACAUGCUCUACAAGAUGUAACAGGUUUCAUUCUGAUUGGUCAAGCCAUCUCGGCGUAAUCGGCAGUUCUGAAGUGAUGUAGUCUAGAAGGCAGCACUCCUAAGAUUCUCUGCAUAAUCCAGGACUCCUUGACAGUUUUACCUUCAGCAGACAGACUAUCAGCAUACUCUUGUAUUUGCAGACAAUUUUCUAUACCUGUCUGUCAGAAUCAUGACUUUGUCCUUCGACGUUUCUGGGGCAAUGCACCGUCGGGUUGCUUGCCAAUUGACACAUCCGUUAGUAAUAAAUAAACGUACCUUCGUCACUCGGUGCCUACGUGACCGAGACAUCAUCCCUCGCUGGUCGACUGCUCAUGGAGGCCGCCUGACUUUCGUCUAGAGUCCGUUCGUCCUGACCCUGCCAUAAAACAGUCACACUCCAAAAUGCGACGAACUAUUUACUGUAAACGAUUCUUAAAAGACGUUGACGCUGACACGGCCAACCUGACAUGCUUCACGCUCUCGGGAAGCAUCUAUUCUCAAUUAUUCUUAACGUCAUACUCAGUACAAUGCUCUAUCAUAACUAAUUCGCACCGACAUAUCUAAUGGCGUGUCUAACAUUCUAUGUCGUAUCACAGAUUUCGUUGACAAUACUGGAUUACAAAAUGAAAAUAUGUAUCUAAACGCAAAAAUAAAACUUUUUUGUUGAACUAAACCUAUUACCUUAUUUUGGUUUAAAUCGUACUUUUUUUUUUUUUUAAAUAUCUUAUCAAGUGCAACAACCUAUUCUGUCUAA